AUUGAACGCUGGCGGCAGGCCUAACACAUGCAAGUCGAGCGGCAGCGGGAAGAAGUUUUCUUCUUUGCCGGCGAGCGGCGGACGGGUGAGUAAUGUCUGGGGAUCUGCCCAAUGGAGGGGGAUAACUGCUGGAAACGGUAGCUAAUACCGCAUAACGUCGCAAGACCAAAGUAAGGGACCUUUUAGGCCAUACACCAUUGGAUGAACCCAGAUGAGAUUAGCUAGUAGGUGGGGUAAUGGCUUACCUAGGCAACGAUCUCUAGCUGGUCUGAGAGGAUGACCAGCCACACUGGAACUGAGACACGGUCCAGACUCCUGCGGGAGGCAGCAGUGGGGAAUAUUGCACAAUGGGGGAAACCCUGAUGCAGCCAUGCCGCGUGUGUGAAGAAGGCCUUAGGGUUGUAAAGCACUUUCAGCGGGGAAGAAAACAAUGGCGUUAAUAGCGUCAUUUAUUGACAUUACCCGCAAAAGAAGCACCGGCUAACUCCGUGCCAGCAGCCGCGGUAAUACGGAGGGUGCAAGCGUUAAUCGGAAUUACUGGGCGUAAAGCGUACGUAGGCGGUUUGUUAAGUCAGAUGUGAAAUCCCCGGGCUUAACCUAGGAACUGCAUUUGAAACUGGCAAGCUAGAGUCUCGUAGAGGAGAGUAGAAUUCCAGGUGUAGCGGUGAAAUGCGUAGAAAUCUGGAGGAAUAUCAGUGGCAAAGGCGGCUCUCUGGACGAAGACUGACGCUCAGGUACGAAAGCGUGGGGAGCAAACAGGGAUUAGAUACCCUGGUAGUCCACGCCGUAAACGAUGUCGAUUUGAAGGUUGUGGCCUUGAGCUGUGGCUUUCGGAGCUAACGCGUUAAAUCGACCGCCUGGGGAGUACGGCCGCAAGGUUAAAACUCAAAUGAAUUGACGGGGGCCCGCACAAGCGGUGGAGCAUGUGGUUUAAUUCGAUGCAACGCGAAAAACCUUACCUACUCUUGACAUCCAGAGAACUAAGUAGAGAUGCCUAGGUGCCUUCGGGAGCUCUGAGACAGGUGCUGCAUGGCUGUCGCCAGCUCGUGUUGUGAAAUGUUGGGUUAAGUCCCGCAACGAGCGCAACCCUUAUCUUUUGUUGCCAGCGAUUCGGUCGGGAACUCAAAAGAGACUGCCGGUGAUAAACCGGAGGAAGGUGGGGAUGACGUCAAGUCAUCAUGGCCCUUAAGAGUAGGGCUACACACGUGCUACAAUGGCGUAUACAAAGAGAAGCGAUCUCGCGAGAGUUAGCGGACCUCAUAAAGUGCGUCGUAGUCCGGAUUGGAGUCUGCAACUCGACUCCAUGAAGUCGGAAUCGCUAGUAAUCGUGGAUCAGAAUGCCACGGUGAAUACGUUCUCGGGCCUUGUACACACCGCCCGUCACACCAUGGGAGUGGGUUGCAAAAGAAGUAAGUAGCUUAACCUAAUUAAGGAGGGCGCUUACCACUUUGUGAUUCAUGACUGGGGUG
rnacentral:rRNA from 1 species